AGAUCUAAUGCUGUUCUGGUAAAGCCACAGGUGGAGGAUGCUGAGGUGUUUUGGUCCUCUCUGCUGGAACGGCUGACCCUGUGACCCGGACCAAGAUGGAGCACAACUAUCCCUCUGGGCCCUCCGGGAUCAUGGAGGGAUCACAAGAAAUUUGGAAAACAUCCUUCCAAUUAAUCACAAGACUGGAAAUGUCUGAUCGAUUUUGGGUUGAGGUGAGGAGUUUCACACCUCAAACAGACGGUUUCUAAAACACAAGAAUACGUCCAGGAGAAAACAAAUAAAUCAUCUCAAACUCUAGAAACUCAAACCACAGCAACUGAUGAAGAAACAGGAAGUGGAAAAGGUCUUACCUUGAUGGUCGGCGCCGUGACUCCAUGCUUUUUGAAGACUUUGUUGAACCCUGCAGAAGAUUAAAAUAUUACUGAGUGAUCCAGCUCCUGUUCUUCAGGUUGAAGAUUUUAUAUCAAAACAUAAAACAAGACAAACUGUAAAGCUGACUAAACUAUUUCACCAGUUUGGUCCACUCUGAGUAAUAAAUGCACCAUUUGGUAAAUUAAAGCACAUUUUGACCUUUUAAUGGGGCGGAGUUUAUGAUGUCAGGACAGAUUCACAUGAUGUCUUCACGGAGCUAAAGGUACCCGACUCCCUCAUCUCCUCCCUUUAAAUUGGGCGGG